CCUACGGGGGGCAGCAGUCGAGAAUCAUUCACAAUGGGGGAAACCCUGAUGGUGCGACGCCGCGUGGGGGAAUGAAGGUCUUCGGAUUGUAAACCCCUGUCAUGUGGGAGCAAAUUAAAAAGAUAGUACCACAAGAGGAAGAGACGGCUAACUCAGUGCCAGCAGCCGCGGUAAUACAGAGGUCUCAAGCGUUGUUCGGAAUCACUGGGCGUAAAGCGUGCGUAGGCUGUUUCGUAAGUCGUGUGUGAAAGGCGCGGGCUCAACCCGCGGACGGCACAUGAUACUGCGAGACUAGAGUAGUGGAGGGGGAACCGGAAUUCUCGGUGUAGCAGUGAAAUGCGUAGAUAUCGAGAGGAACACUCGUGGCGAAGGCGGGUUCCUGGACAUUAACUGACGCUGAGGCACGAAGGCCAGGGGAGCGAAAGGGAUUAGAUACCCGGGUAGUC
rnacentral:rRNA from 1 species